AUCCUGCCAGUCGUCCGUAGAGCGGCGUCCAGUCAGGAGCCCCGCCACCAGCACCUGGCAGGCUUUGUCCCUGCGGGAAGAGCGGGCAGAGGAGGUGGUCUCGUCUGGCAUUCACAUCCCGUGCGUCCCGGAAAAAAGUCAAGCACAAAUGUUAGUUGAGGUCCCUCUUGUUUCCUACUACUCUACUAUGACAGGAAGGAAGGCGAAAUGUGCUGUGAGACAAUACUCCCAGCCAGUUGGCUACAGAGGUUGAUUCAAGGUCCAAAGCUCUUGUCUUCCCUUCCCCUCCCCCAGCACUGGCUAGUCGAGUGGGUUCCAGUGGCUGGUGUUGGAGGUGGCAUGACCUGCUUUCACACAACCUGCCCUGUGCCUACCUCAUGCACAGGUUCCUCUGAUGCUGAGCUGGGGAAGAAAAAGGAACAAGGAAGAGCUAGCUCCUUCUUUGACUUGUCUUGACUUAGCUCUCAGGGGUGGUCCAAACUGUUCCUGUCUAAAGGCUCAAGUGGUGGCUCCAACAUGCUCCUCUGAUGGCAGCUCAGUGCUGAGUUUCCCCAGAUGUUGGGAAUAUGUUGCAAGAUUUGACUCCAAAUAAAUGUCCUCUGGCUGUAUCAUUCCCCA